rnacentral:rRNA from 1 species
ACCUACCCUUGACAUGUCCGGAAUCCGAAGAGAUUUGGGAGUGCUCGCAAGAGAACCGGAACACAGGUGCUGCAUGGCUGUCGUCAGCUCGUGCCGUGAGAUGUUGGGUUAAGUCCCGCAACGAGCGCAACCCUUGUCAUUAGUUGCCAUCAUUUGUUGGGCACUCUAAUGAGACUGCCGGUGACAAACCGGAGGAAGGUGGGGAUGACGUCAAGUCCUCAUGGCCCUUAUGGGUAGGGCUUCACACGUCAUACAAUGGUCGGUACAGAGGGUUGCCAACCCGCGAGGGGGAGCUAAUCCCACAAAGCCGAUCGUAGUCCGGAUCGCAGUCUGCAACUCGACUGCGUGAAGUCGGAAUCGCUAGUAAUCGUGGAUCAGCAUGUCACGGUGAAUACGUUCCCGGGUCUU